CACGUAGGGGCCAAGCGUUGUCCGGAUUUAUUGGGCGUAAAGAGCGUGUAGGCGGCCAUGUAGGUCCGGUGUGAAAACUCGAGGCUUAACCUCGAGAUGUCAUCGGAAACCAUUUGGCUAGAGUCCGGAAGAGGAGAGUGGAAUUCCUGGUGUAGCGGUGAAAUGCGCAGAUAUCAGGAAGAACACCAAUGGCGAAAGCAGCUCUCUGGGACGGUACUGACGCUGAGACGCGAAAGCGUGGGGAGCAAACAGG
rnacentral:rRNA from 1 species